GACAGAGGUGCCAAGCGUUAGGCGGAAUCACUGGGCUUAAAGCGUGUGUAGGCGGAUUUCUAAGUACCUUGUGGAAAUCCCACGGCUCAACCGUGGAACUGCUUGGUAUACUGGAUAUCUUGAGCCACUCAGGGCGAGCGGAACAAUGGUGGAGCGGUGAAAUGCGCAGAUAUCAUUUGGAACAGCCAAAGGUGAAAACAGCUCGCUGGGGUGUGCUGACGCUGAGAC
rnacentral:rRNA from 1 species